GGCAGUUCUCAGGUGACGCACCCUGAAAUUUGGCUCGCUUCUCUCUGGUUCUCAGUACAUCACCCGAGAACUGCC
rfam:Myotis davidii contig95108, whole genome shotgun sequence.